rnacentral:tRNA from 1 species
UCCCUGGUGGUCUAGUGGAUAGGACUCUGCACUCCCAAUGCAAGAGGCCUGGGUUCGAUCCCUGAUCAGAGAA